UGUGCAUUUUUACCUCCUUAACCCCUCCUGCUGCUAUCCCAAAGAAAAUUUGGGAUCAGGGGGAUUCCAGCAGCCUGGAGGAAGAGGAGAGCAGGGAAGGCUCCAGCUGGAGCUUCUGGGGAGGAAAAUUUUUCAGGAAAAUUUCUCAGGGAAAUUCUCCCUCAUGAAUCAGGGAAUUUCCCCCUCAUGGACCAAGGAAUUUCUCCCUCAUGGAUCAGGGAAUUCCUCCUUCAUGGAUCAGGGAAUUUCUCCCUCAUGGAUCAGGGAAUUCCUCCAAGAAUCAGGGAAUUUCUCCUCCACAGAUGAGGGAAUUUCUCCCUGAUGGAUCAGGGAAUUCCUCCCUGAUGGAUCAGGGAAUUCCUCCAUGGAUAAGGGAAAUUCACCCUCAUGGACCAGGGAAUUCCUCCUCCAUGGAUCAAUGUUUUCCUCCCUCAUGGAUCAGGGAAUUCCUCCUUCAUGGAUCAGGGAAUUUUUCCUUCAUGGAUGAGGGAAUUCCUCCCUCAUGGACCAAGGAGUUUCUCCUCCAUGGAUCAGGGAAUUCCUCCUUCAUGGAUCAGGGAAUUCCUCCAAGAAUCAGGGAAUUUCUCCUCCACAGAUGAGGGAAUUCCUCCCUCAUGGAUCUGGGAAUUUCUCCCUCAUGGAUGAGGGAAUUUCUCUGUGGAUCUGGGAAUUUCUCCCUUACAGAUCAGGGAAAUUCACCCUCAUGAAUCAGGGAAUUCCUCCCUCAUGGAUCAGGGAAUUCCUCCUUCAUGGAUCAGGGAAUUCCUCCUCCAUGGACCAGGGAAUUCCUCCCUCGUGGAUAAGGGAGUUUGUCCCUUAUGAAUCAGGGAAUUUCUCCUUCAUGGAUCUGGGAAUUCCUCCCUCAUGGAUCAGGGACUUUUUCCUCCAUGGAUCAGUGUUUUCCUCACUCAUGGAUCAGGGAAUUUCUCCUCCAUGGAUCAGGGAAAUUCUUACAUGGAUAAGGGAAUUUCUCCCUCAUGGAUCAGGGAAUUCCUCCUCCAUGGAUAAGGAUAUUUCUCCUCCAUGGAUCAGCCUCCAGCCCCUCGGAUGAGCCGUGGGUGGUGAGGGGGAGGAAUUCCUGCGGGCUGGGCAGUGUCCAUGGGGCUCCCAGCUGGCAUGGAGAUGUUUUUCCCUCAUUUUUCCCUUCAGGAAUCUCCCU
rnacentral:lncRNA from 1 species